GACAAACGCUGGCGGCGUGCCUAAUACAUGCAAGUAGAACGCACAGUUUAUACCGUAGCUUGCUACACCAUAAACUGUGAGUUGCGAACGGGGGAGUAACGCGUAGGUAAACUGCCUGGUAGCGGGGGAUAACUAUUGGAAACGAUAGCUAAUACCGCAUAAUAUUAAUUAUUGCAUGAUAAUUUAUUGAAAGAUGCAAUUGCAUCACUACCAGAUGGACCUGCGUUGUAUUAGCUAGUAGGUGAGGGAACGGCGCACCUAGGCGACGAUACAUAGACGACCUGAGAGGGUGAUCGGCCACACUGGGACUGAGACACGGCCCAGACUCCUACGGGAGGCAGCAGUAGGGAAUCUUCGGCAAUGGACGAAAGUCUGACCGAGCAACGCCGCGUGAGUGAAGAAGGUUGUCGGAUCGUAAAGCUCUGUUGUAAGAGAAGAACGGGUGUGAGAGUGGAAAGUUCACACUGUGACGGUAUCUUACCAGAAAGGGACGGCUAACUACGUG
rnacentral:rRNA from 1 species